AUGACAGAAGAGAGUUGGAACACUUUACUGUCUCUGUAUUCUCAUCUUUUGGAACAGAAUGGAGGAUUACCAUGUGAUUUCUGUUACAAAAAGUGAUAAUAAAGUAAAUAUUGUCAGAUGCCACAUUCUACACCUUGUGUUUUAACCUUGCUCCAUGGAUGUGCUAACUAUUCAUAUCAUGGAGGACUCGUCUGACAGUGCAGUGUUUCGGGUCCAGGUUCAGUGUGCUGAUCCUUUCCUGCUAAACUACUGGCUCCAGAAGACCUUCUUCAACAAUGGGGACGUCCAACAGAUCAACACCCUGAGAAUAAACGGCUGUCGUGGGCUAGUGUUUGUUUUGAGGGUGCUGCAUCGUUCUUCACGCCUCCCUAAUUCCCAUUAUUGGUGCCCUUUCCUAGUGACACUCUGCCUCGAUGCCCUGGCAUUUCACUACCACCUCCCCUCUAUACCCCAGUGGAACAGCACCCUUCGAGAGGCGAUGA